UACGUAGGGCGCAAGCGUUAUCCGGAAUUAUUGGGCGUAAAGAGCUCGUAGGCGGUUUGUCGCGUCUGCUGUGAAAAUCCAGGGCUUAACCCUGGACCUGCAGUGGGUACGGGCAGACUAGAGUGCGGUAGGGGAGAUCGGAAUUCCUGGUGUAGCGGUGAAAUGCGCAGAUAUCAGGAGGAACACCGGUGGCGAAGGCGGAUCUCUGGGCCGUAACUGACGCUGAGGAGCGAAAGCAUGGGGAGCGAACAGG
rnacentral:rRNA from 1 species